rnacentral:rRNA from 1 species
GGAAUAUUGCGCAAUGGGCGAAAGCCUGACGCAGCAACGCCGCGUGAGGGAUGAAGGCCUUCGGGUUGUAAACCUCUUUUAGCAGGGAAGAAGCGAAAGUGACGGUACCUGCAGAAAAAGCACCGGCUAACUACGUGCCAGCAGCCGCGGUAAUACGUAGGGUGCAAGCGUUAUCCGGAAUUAUUGGGCGUAAAGAGCUCGUAGGCGGUUUGUCGCGUCUGCUGUGAAAAUCUGAGGCUCAACCUCGGACUUGCAGUGGGUACGGGCAGACUAGAGUGCAGUAGGGGAGAAGGGAAUUCCUGGUGUAGCGGUGGAAUGCGCAGAUAUCAGGAGGAACACCAAUGGCGAAGGCACUUCUCUGGGCUGUAACUGACGCUGAGGAGCGAAAGCGUGGGGAGCGAACAGGAUUAGAUACCCUGGUAGUCCACGCCGUAAACGUUGGGCGCUAGAUGUGGGUCACAUUCCACGUGAUCCGUGUCGCAGCUAACGCAUUAAGCGCCCCGCCUGGGGAGUACGGCCGCAAGGCUAAAACUCAAAGGAAUUGACGGA